rnacentral:rRNA from 1 species
UACGUAGGUGGCAAGCGUUGUCCGGAUUUAUUGGGCGUAAAGCGCGUGUAGGCGGCCAGGUAGGUCCGCUGUGAAAACCCGAGGCUCAACCUCGGGACGUCGGCGGAAACCAUCUGGCUAGAGUCCGGAAGAGGAGAGUGGAAUUCCUGGUGUAGCGGUGAAAUGCGCAGAUAUCAGGAAGAACACCCGUGGCGAAGGCGGCUCUCUGGGACGGUACUGACGCUGAGACGCGAAAGCGUGGGGAGCGAACAGG